rnacentral:rRNA from 1 species
GACGAACGCUGGCGGCGUGCUUAACACAUGCAAGUCGAACGAAGAGCGAUGGAAGCUUGCUUCUAUCAAUCUUAGUGGCGAACGGGUGAGUAACGCGUAAUCAACCUGCCCUUCAGAGGGGGACAACAGUUGGAAACGACUGCUAAUACCGCAUACGAUCUGACCUCGGCAUCGAGGAUAGAUGAAAGGUGGCCUCUAUUUAUAAGCUAUCACUGAAGGAGGGGAUUGCGUCUGAUUAGCUAGUUGGAGGGGUAACGGCCCACCAAGGCGAUGAUCAGUAGCCGGUCUGAGAGGAUGAACGGCCACAUUGGGACUGAGACACGGCCCAGACUCCUACGGGAGGCAGCAGUGGGGAAUCUUCCGCAAUGGACGAAAGUCUGACGGAGCAACGCCGCGUGAGUGAUGACGGCCUUCGGGUUGUAAAGCUCUGUUAAUCGGGACGAAAGGCCUUCUUGCGAAUAGUUAGAA